CCUACGGGAGGCAGCAGUGAGGAAUAUUGCGCAAUGGGCGAAAGCCUGACGCAGCGACGCCGCGUGGAGGAUGACGGUCUUCGGAUUGUAAACUCCUGUUAAGUGGGAAGAAAAGCCAGUCUCUAAUAUAGAUUGGAUAUGACGGUACCACUAGAGAAAGCACCGGCUAACUUCGUGCCAGCAGCCGCGGUAAUACGAGGGGUGCAAACGUUAUUCGGAUUCAUUGGGUGUAAAGGGUGUGUAGACGGUUUAUUAAGUUCGUUGUUAAAACUUUCGGCCUAACCGAAAGCUCGCGGUGAAAACUGAUAGACUGGAGGAUGAAAGAGAGGAGUGGAAUUCUCGGAGUAGCGGUAAAAUGCGUAGAUCUCGAGAGGAACACCGAUGGCGAAAGCAGCUCCUUGGUUCAUUCCUGACGUUGAAACACGAAAGCGUGGGGAGCAAACAGGAUUAGAUACCCUGGUAGUCCACGCUGUAAACGAUGAUCACUGGAUGUCAGUCUUGCUUUGCAAGAUUGGUAUCGAAGCUAACGCGUUAAGUGAUCCACCUGGGAACUACGAUCGCAAGAUUAAAACUCAAAGGAAUUGACGG
rnacentral:rRNA from 1 species